ACUGUCAUGGCGUUCGUCGCUGGUUUUCGGCGUAAUAGGAUUACAAUUGAAUUUUCGACUCAAAUCUCGAGGUUAGAAUGUCGAGAUCAUCCUAAAAUGAAGCACCAACGUUCACAUAUCCUCAAACCUUGUAGUGGUAAAGGUAGAAAGACUCGUGAACACUGACAUAAAUGUACCUAUUACAUAUAGCAUGGAUUCACCAUUUAGAUAUGGGGAGCGAUUUUGACAGCGGUUAUCGGCAUCACUUCUCGUAUUCGAUAAAAUAAAAGAGCAACUGACGACGGACAGCAGCUCGUACACGAUGGCUAAGAAA